AUUGAACGCUGGCGGCAGGCUUAACACAUGCAAGUCGAGCGGAUGAAGGGAGCUUGCUCCUGGAUUUAGCGGCGGACGGGGGAGUAAUGCCUAGGAAUCUGCUUGGCAGUGGGGGAUAAUGACUGGAAACGGGUGCUACUACCGCAUACGUCCUGAGGGUGCAAGAGGGGGAUCUUCGGACCUUACGCUAUCAGAUGAGCCUAGGGCGGAUUGGCUAGUUGGUGGGGUAAAGGCCUACUAAGGCGGCGAUCCGUAACUGGCCUGUGUGGAAGGUCAGUCACACUGGAAGUUGGACACGGUCCAGGCGCCUACGGGAGGCAGCAGUGGGGAAUAUUGGGCAAUGGUCGGAAGCCUGGUCCAGCCAUGCGGCGUGUGUGGAGAAGGUCUUCGGAUUGUGAAGCACUUUAAGUUGGUGUGAAGGGCAUUAAGUUGAUACCUUGCUGGAUUGACGUUACCGGGUGAAUAAGCACCGGCUAACUUCGUG
rnacentral:rRNA from 1 species